rnacentral:rRNA from 1 species
AGAGUUUGAUCAUGGCUCAGAUUGAACGCUGGCGGCGUGCCUAACACAUGCAAGUCGAGCGGUAACAGGUGUAGCAAUACAUGCUGACGAGCGGCGAACGGGUGAGUAAUGCUUUGGAAUCUUCCCAGUAGUGGGGAAUAACCAGUCGAAAGAUUGGCUAAUACCGCAUACGUCUGUAAAGGGAAAGCGGGGGCUCGUAAGACCUCGCGCUAUUGGAUGAGCCAAAGUCGGAUUAGCUAGUUGGUGGGGUAAUGGCCUACCAAGGCGACAAUCCGUAGCUGGUCUGAGAGGACGACCGGCCACACCGGAACUGAGACACGGUCCGGACUCCUACGGGAGGCAGCAGUGGGGAAUAUUGGACAAUGGGGGAAACCCUGAUCCAGCGACGCCGCGUGUGUGAAGAAGGCCUGCGGGUUGUAAAGCACUUUUAGUGGGGACAAAAAGCUACGGACCAAUACUCUGUGGUCUUGAUUUAACCCAAAGAAAAAGCACCGGCUAACUCUGUGCCAGCAGCCGCGGUAAUACAGAGGGUGCGAGCGUUAAUCGGAAUUACUGGGCGUAAAGCGCGCGUAGACGGUUUUGUAAGUCAGAUGUGAAAUCCCUGGGCUCAACCUGGGAACUGCAUUUGAGACUGCAUGGCUAGAGUAUCGAAGAGGGAAGUGGAAUUUCCGGUGUAGCGGUGAAAUGCGUAGAUAUCGGAAGGAACACCAGUGGCGAAAGCGACUUCCUGGUCGAAUACUGACGUUCAUGUGCGAAAGCGUGGGGAGCAAACAGGAUUAGAUACCCUAGUAGUCC